rnacentral:rRNA from 1 species
GUGCCAGCCGCAGCGGUAAUACGUAGGUGGCGAGCGUUGUCCGGAUUUACUGGGUGUAAAGGGCGCGUAGGCGGGCUUGCAAGUCAGAUGUGAAAUACCGGGGCUUAACCCCGGGGCUGCAUUUGAAACUGUAAGUCUUGAGUGCCGGAGAGGAAAGCGGAAUUCCUAGUGUAGCGGUGAAAUGCGUAGAUAUUAGGAGGAACACCAGUGGCGAAGGCGGCUUUCUGGACGGUAACUGACGCUGAGGCGCGAAAGCGUGGGAGCAAACAGGAUUAGAUACCCUGGUAGUCCACGCCGUAAACGAUGGAUACUAGGUGUAGGAGGUAUCGACCCCUUCUGUGCCGCAAGUUAACACAAUAAGUAUCCCCACCUGGGAGUACGACCGCAAGGUUGAAACUCAAAGGA